rnacentral:rRNA from 1 species
CCCGGCGACCGGCGCACGGGUGAGCAACACGUAUGCAACCUGGCCGCCACAGGGGGAUAACCCGCGGAAACGCGGCCUAAUACCCCGUGACGCCACCGGAGGGCAUCCUCCGGUGGCCAAAGGAGCGAUCCGGUGGCGGAUGGGCAUGCGGCGCAUUAGCUAGACGGCGGGGUGACGGCCCACCGUGGCGACGAUGCGUAGGGGUUCUGAGAGGAAGGCCCCCCACACUGGGACUGAGACACGGCCCAGACUCCUACGGGAGGCAGCAG